rnacentral:tRNA from 1 species
CGGAAGUGGCUCAGUGGUAGAGCAUCUCCUUGCCAAGGAGAGGGUCGGGAGUUCGAAUCUCCUCUUCC